rnacentral:rRNA from 1 species
UGGGGGAUAUUGCACAAUGGGCGAAAGCCUGAUGCAGCGACGCCGCGUGGGGGAUGAAGGCCUUCGGGUUGUAAACUUCUUUUGCUCUGAACAAGGCAUGCUUUUGGGGUGUGUUGAGUGUAGGGGUUGAUUAGCGCCGGCUAAAUACGUGCCAGCAGCCGCGGUAAUACGUAGGGCGCGAGCGUUGUCCGGAAUUAUUGGGCGUAAAGGGCUUGUAGGUGGCUGGUUGCGUCUGUCGUGAAAGCUCAUGGCUUAACUGUGGGUUUGCGGUGGGUACGGGCUGGCUUGAGUGCAGUAGGGGAGGCUGGAAUUCCUGGUGUAGCGGUGGAAUGCGCAGAUAUCAGGAGGAAUACCGGUGGCGAAGGCGGGUCUCUGGGCUGUUACUGACGCUGAGGAGCGAAAGCGUGGGGAGCGAACAGG